GACGAACGCUGGCGGCGUGCUUAACACAUGCAAGUCGAACGAAGCACUUUACUUAGAUUUCUUCGGGAUGAAGAGUUUUGUGACUGAGCGGCGGACGGGUGAGUAACGCGUGGGUAACCUGCCUCAUACAGGGGGGUAACAGUUAGAAAUGACUGCUAAUACCGCAUAAGACCACAGCACCGCAUGGUGCAGGGGUAAAAACUCCGGUGGUAUGAGAUGGACCCGCGUCUGAUUAGCUGGUUGGUGGGGUAACGGCCUACCAAGGCAACGAUCAGUAGGCGGCCUGAGAGGGCGACCGGCCACAUUGGGACUGAGACACGGCCCAAACUCCUACGGGAGGCAGCAGUGGGGAAUAUUGCACAAUGGGGGAAACCCUGAUGCAGCGACGCCGCGUGAAGGAAGAAGUAUUUCGGUAUGUAAACUUCUAUCAGCAGGGAAGAAAAUGACGGUACCUGACUAAGAAGCCCCGGCUAACUACGUGCCAGCCGCCGCCGUAA
rnacentral:rRNA from 1 species